UUUGGCUAUGGCAGAAUAUAACUUCGAUUCGCCGGCUUUCUCGUUAUGGAGUUUGUCGUUGAUUGGUGGUUAUGGAGGUUGUCUCCUGCCUGGUGGUUAUGGAGGUUUUCGCCUGCUUUUGGAGUGGGUCGCGUCGCAAAGAUCGGAGUGAGAGGGUUUCGAAGAAGUUUUGCAAUCUCGUCGGUCAAUUCUUCAUUGUAGACGGGCUUCUUGAACUCAAGAAGUGGGAAGCUGUUUUUUUCUAAAAUUGUUGGAGCACAUUCCUUGACACUGUUGAGGAAGACAUUUGUUGCGUCUGCCUGCAUUGUAGGCAAUAUUCAACGGUUUGCUCAGUUUCCCCCCUCAAUGAGUUGUAGUGCGUCCAUUGCAAUGAAUUGGUGUCGAAGACAAGCAGGGUGUGGUGUCCGCCAUCCGUUAUUGGUAUGAACACCUUUGAAGUUUUCCCUAUGCAUUCAAGGAGUUUGACAAAAUAUUCAUCGAAUGUUCUUGGGUGCAUUUUAUCUGUGAGAUACCUCUGCAAAAUUAAUAGUUUCGGCAUUAGAGAGAAUGUGAAAAGUAUAGG